GUCGAACGCGAAAGUCCCCUUCGGGGGGCAAGUAGAGUGGCGCACGGGUGAGUAACACGUAGGUAAUCUACCUUUGGAUGGGGAAUAACAAUCGGAAACGAUUGCUAAUACCGCAUAAUGCAGCGGCACCUAAUGGUGACAGUUGUUAAAGCGGGGGAUCGAAAGACCUCGCGUCUGAAGAGGAGCCUGCGGCGGAUUAGCUAGUUGGUAAGGUAAUGGCUUACCAAGGCUACGAUCCGUAACCGGCCUGAGAGGGCGGUCGGUCACACUGACACUGACAUACGGGUCAGACUCCUACGGGAGGCAGCAGUCGGGAAUUUUGGGCAAUGGGCGAAAGCCUGACCCAGCAACGCCGCGUGAAGGAUGAAAUCCCUCGGGAUGUAAACUUCGCAAGAACGGGAAGAAUAAGUAGGGGACAAUACCCCCUAUGAUGACGGUACCGUUUGUAAGCUCCGGCUAACUCCGUGCCAGCAGCCGCGGUAAUACGGGGGGAGCAAGCGUUGUUCGGAUUUACUGGGCGUAAAGGGCGCGUAGGCGGCCAGCACAAGUCAGUUGUGAAAUCUCCGAGCUUAACUCGGAAAGGUCAACUGAUACUGUGCGGCUAGAGUGCAGAAGGGGCAACUGGAAUUCUUGGUGUAGCGGUGAAAUGCGUAGAUAUCAAGAGGAACACCUGCGGCGAAGGCGGGUUGCUGGGCUGACACUGACGCUGAUGCGCGAAAGCUAGGGGAGCGAACGGGAUUAGAUACCCCGGUAGUCCUAGCCUUAAACGAUGAAUGCUUGGUGUCU
rnacentral:rRNA from 1 species